AGUGAGCGUGUGUCCAUACGUGAGUGUGCGACAAGUUUGGACUGGGACUUGGGACGGGAGCUGAGGCUGUAGUAAGGUUGGGGGAGGCCGAGGAGUUGCGGCUGGAGCGGGCGGGCGGUCCCGGGGGCGAUCGGAGCUGGGGCUGCGGCUCACUAGCUUGGCUGGUGGGGGACAGGCAGGAACCGGAGCAGCACUGCCGCCUCUGGCGCGAAGGCUCUGGCGCCUCCUCCCGCCCCAUCACUGUGGCUCCGUGCGCGCUGCCGGCCGGCCGCUGCUCUCUUCAGCCUCUGAAGAAGAAAGCCUCUGAGCCGCUGUCGCUUGAACCAUGGCUUCGGGCCGAAGGGGUUGGGACAGCUCCCACGAGGACGACCUGCCUGUGUACUUGGCCCGGCCGGGCACCACAGAUCAGGUCCCACGGCAGAAGUACGGUGGCAUGUUCUGCAACGUGGAGGGCGCCUUCGAGAGCAAGACAUUGGAUUUUGAUGCCCUGAGUGUGGGACAGCGCGGCGCCAAAACUCCCCGGAGCAGCCAGGGCAGCGGCCG
rnacentral:lncRNA from 1 species